rnacentral:rRNA from 1 species
GAGGAAUAUUGGACAAUGGUCGGAAGACUGAUCCAGCCAUGCCGCGUGCAGGAAGACGGCCUUAUGGGUUGUAAACUGCUUUUGCAGGGGAAGAAUAAGGACUACGAGUAGUUUGAUGACGGUACUCUGCGAAUAAGCAUCGGCUAACUCCGUGCCAGCAGCCGCGGUAAUACGGAGGAUGCGAGCGUUAUCCGGAAUCAUUGGGUUUAAAGGGUCCGUAGGCGGGCUAAUAAGUCAGAGGUGAAAGCGCUCAGCUCAACUGAGCAACUGCCUUUGAAACUGUUAGUCUUGAAUGGUUGUGAAGUAGUUGGAAUGUGUAGUGUAGCGGUGAAAUGCUUAGAUAUUACACAGAACACCGAUAGCGAAGGCAUAUUACUAACAAUUAAUUGACGCUGAUGGACGAAAGCGUGGGGAGCGAACAGGAUUAGAUACCCUGGUAGUCCACGCUGUAAACGAUGGAUACUAGCUGUUUGGUUGUAAGACUGAGUGGCUAAGCGAAAGUGAUAAGUAUCCCACCUGGGGAGUACGCACGCAAGUGUG